ensembl:lncRNA
AGCAUAAUUCUACAGGCUUAUGUUCUUUGAGAGGCUGUGACUACUUACCAAAUUUCCAUAUCCAGAAGCAGUGGUCUCCAUAAUGCUGAGCAGAAAACAGGAAACUGAGAUCAGGGCUCUAAGCACUCCACAGUGCCUUGCUGCAUCACCAUCUCAGCUAUUGAACCUUCUUGUUGGUUUCUUCAGCCUGUUCCACCAAAACAGUCUUCACAUGCUGGGUGAGCAAAGCAGUAAUAUAAGUUUAAAAUAUAAUGUCAAUUCAUUCCCCAAAAGCUUGAGACUAUAAAAAUGAUGCCACUAAUUAUUUUUAAAAAAUUAUGGGACUCUGCUUAAAUACCUCUGUCUGAUUCCAGGACAAGAUAUAAAAAAGAGCUAUUUCACAGGCCCAAUGAAGCAUAAAGCUUAAGCUGAUUAGUGCCACAAAGAGAACACAGGAUAUAUUAGUGUGAAGACUCAAGGUUGCGAUGCUUAACAUACAUUAAGAUGUAGGUCUUCCUUGUAUCCACAAUCACUCUGAAAAUACUAACAGAUGAGUAUCCCAAAGUUGGCUCCUAAUUGGCUCCUAUAAUCUAGUCCGUUUUCUGUCUUUCAUAGUGUAGCAAACUUUCUGUAGUCCUGGCUAUGGACUGGGUAAAUGCAUCAUUACUUAGAACAUUUUAAUUGGGCCCUGAUUUAAAGACCUGUUAUAGAUUUACUUUUCCUUUACUUGGAAUUUUUACACAUAAGACUUUGAUAGUCUAUAUUUUCAUCCAGGAAUUAUCUUUUUUUUUUUUGGAUUUUUUAUGUCUUUUUAAUUUCUCUUACCAAUUGAUUCAUAUACCUCACAACUCAGCCAUGCAUCCCUAAGUGAUCCUGUGUUUUUUAAUCACCCUCUUCAUGGGGAAAUGUAAAAAAAAAUCAUUAUUUUAAAUUGCAAAGUUUAAAUUUUAGGUUAAGAAAGAUGCUACCUCUCUGAAUCCAGAAGCUGAACUGUUUGGAGAAGACACCAUGAAGAUUCCUCCAGACCACAAGCUGAAAGAGAAGCUCAAGAAUGAACUUUGGGUGUGGUUGAUUGAACAUUUAUUUGUAUGUAUACUUUCAUGCCAAAGGGGACUGCCCCCUAACUGGUUUUUUGUCAAUGCUUCUAGCAAUUAUUGGUUUUGUUCUUUUUUUCCUCUUAUCCUCAAAUUAUUGUAAUCUAUAAGUUGAUUAUGUUUUCAUGAUCCUUUUGGGGAAAAUUUUUGCCUAUAAGGAUCACACAGGGAAAUGUAAAAAUGGAGAUUUGAAUCCCAGACUUCAAUUCCCAGAAUUCCUUGGUAGUUCCCAGAAUUCCCUGAAAUCUCACCGGAGGUCCUAACCUGGACCAAGAGCAAAAGGGGUAUUUAAACUGACUGUACAGCCUACUCUCUCUCUCUCUCAGCUUCUGCUUCUAGGGACAGGAGGCUCUCUACCUAGCAGGCAAGAUAUAGAGUAAGUGGUUGCAAAUGGCCUCUGUGCCUAGGCACGUGGCUUCUUAUUUUUGUAUUUUCUUUAUUUCUUAAUUUUUAAUAAACCUCUAAAAAUAUAAUACUUUUAGCA